rnacentral:rRNA from 1 species
GUGCCAGCCGCCGCGGUAAUACCGGCAGCCCAAGUGAUGGCCGCUGUUAUUGGGCCUAAAGCGUCCGUAGCUGGCUGCGCAAGUCCGUCGGGAAAUCCACUCGCCCAACGAGUGGGCGUCCGACGGAAACUGCAUAGCUUGGGACCGGAAGGCUCGAAGGGUACGUGCGGGGUAGGAGUGAAAUCCCAUAAUCCCGCACGGACCACCGAUGGCGAAAGCACUUCGAGAAAACGGAUCCGACAGUGGGGGACGAAAGCCAGGGUCUCCAACCGGAUUAGAUACACUAGUAGUCA